rnacentral:rRNA from 1 species
CUACGGGUUGCAGCAGUGAGGAAUUUUGCGCAAUGGGGGGAACCCUGACGCAGCAACGCCGCGUGAGUGAUGAAGGCUUUCGGGUCGUAAAGCUCUGUCAAGUGGGAAGAACCUAUGCAGUGUUAAUAUCACUGUAUACUGACGGUACCACUGAAGGAAGCACCGGCUAACUCCGUGCCAGCAGCCGCGGUAAUACGGGGGGUGCAAGCGUUAUUCGGAAUCAUUGGGCGUAAAGGGCACGUAGGCGGCUUGGUAAGUCAAAUGUGAAAGCCCGGGGCUUAACCCCGGAAGUGCAUUUGAUACUGUCAGGCUUGAGUAUGGGAGAGGGAAGUGGAAUUCCUGGUGUAGAGGUGAAAUUCGUAGAUAUCAGGAGGAACACCGGUGGCGAAGGCGACUUCCUGGACCAAUACUGACGCUGAGGUGCGAAGGCGUGGGUAGCAAACAGGAUUAGAUACCCCUGUAGUC